UAGGGAAUCUUCGGCCAUGGGCGAAAGCCUGACCGAGCAACGCCGCGUGAAUGAUGAAGGCCUUCGGGUUGUAAAAUUCUGUUAUAAGGGAAGAAUGGCUCUAGUAGGAAAUGGCUAGAGUGUGACGGUACCUUAUGAGAAAGCCACGGCUAACUACGUGCCAGCAGCCGCGGUAAUACGUAGGUGGCGAGCGUUAUCCGGAAUUAUUGGGCGUAAAGAGCGCGCAGGUGGUUGAUUAAGUCUGAUGUGAAAGCCCACGGCUUAACCGUGGAGGGUCAUUGGAAACUGGUCAACUUGAGUGCAGAAGAGGGAAGUGGAAUUUCAUGUGUAGCGGUGAAAGGCGUAGAGAGAUGGAGGAACGCGAGUGGCGAAGUAGGCUUCCUGGUCUGUAACUGACACUGAGUCUGGAAAGCAUGGGUAGCAAUCA
rnacentral:rRNA from 1 species